rnacentral:misc_RNA from 1 species
GAAAUGCGAUAAGUAAUGUGAAUUGCAGAAUUCCGUGAAUCAUCGAAUCUUUGAACGCACAUUGCGCCCUCUGGCAUUCCGGGGGGCAUGCCUGUCCGAGCGUCAUUACGCACCCUCAAGCCCGGCUUGUGUGAUGGGCCCCGGCGUCUCGUUCGCGAGACGGGCCCGAAAGGCAGCGGCGGCGUCGACCCGAUGAGCCCGAGCGUAUGGGGACUUCUGUCACACGUUCGCGGUGCGGACUGGCGCCUGCUUGACUUUUCUGAUUAUCCAGGUUGACCUCGGAUCAGGUAGGGAUACCCGCUGAACUUAAGC